rnacentral:rRNA from 1 species
CUUAGUGGCGGACGGGUGAGUAACGCGUGGGUAACCUGCCUUGCACUGGGGGAGUAACACUUAGAAAUAGGUGCUAAUACCGCAUAAGCGCACGGUCCUGCAUGGGACAGUGUGAAAAACUCCGGUGGUGCAAGAUGGACCCGCGUCUGAUUAGCUGGUUGGCGGGGUAAAGGCCCACCAAGGCGACGAUCAGUAGCCGGCCUGAGAGGGUGGACGGCCACAUUGGGACUGAGACACGGCCCAAACUCCUACGGAAGGCAGCAG